UACGUAGGGGGCGAGCGUUAUCCGGAUUUACUGGGCGUAAAGGGCGCGUAGGCGGCGGGGUAAGUCUGGUGUGAAAUCUCGGAGCUCAACUCCGAAAUUGCACUGGAUACUGCUCUGCUUGAGGGUUGGAGAGGAGAUCGGAAUUCACGGUGUAGCAGUGAAAUGCGUAGAUAUCGUGAGGAAGACCAGUGGCGAAGGCGGAUCUCUGGACAAAUCCUGACGCUGAGGCGCGAAGGCUAGGGGAGCAAACGGG
rnacentral:rRNA from 1 species